AAACGGGUAUGUCCGUGAUCGGGCUCAAUCCGACUGUUAUUAUGUUGUCUAAUUAGAUUAGGAUUAAUCUCGCUUUUAAAUUGAAAAGCUAAUUAGAUAUAAAUUCUACCUAUAUUAGGAUAACAACUAUAAACGGAUUUAGUCUUAUCUUUUACGUACCUAUUAGAAUUUUGAAAUCUCUUAUAAAUAUACAGACUAUCUCUCAUAAGAGAGAUAAUAAGAAAACCAAGAAAGAAAGAUAAGAACCACAUCCUCCAUUAACUUAUUAUUCUAGAGGGUCUUGAACGGUGGAUUGGAGAUUGUAUUUGUUUGUAGUUCGAUCCAUCGUGAUCGAGUUUAGAGCGAUUUCGUGGACGAUUCGAGAAUACGUGAAUCAACCUCUACGAUUUAAGCUCGUCGCGUUCUAAUGUAUCAAAAUAGGAGGUUCUGAGCUCGAGUCAUGCUAGGGUAGCUCCUAGCAUGCAUAUAUACUUGAUUUCUUCCCAUUGAAUUCAAAUUCACAUCAUAGGCCUAUCAAAAAAUUUCAAACCUAUACAUGAUAGAAAUAUUAAAUAUUAAAAUAUUAAAAUACUAUUCUCUACUAACUUAAGCUUUUUAAACUUUAAAAAAAAAAUUAUUUCAUAUAAUUGAAUAGUUUGUCAACCCAAUUAAU
rnacentral:lncRNA from 1 species